rnacentral:rRNA from 1 species
AACGCGAAGAACCUUACCAGGUCUUGACAUCCCGAUGAAAGCCUCAGAGAUGAGGUCCCUCUUCGGAGCAUUGGAGACAGGUGGUGCAUGGUUGUCGUCAGCUCGUGUCGUGAGAUGUUGGGUUAAGUCCCGCAACGAGCGCAACCCUUGGAUCUAGUUGCCAGCAUUUCGGAUGGGCACUCUAGAUCGACUGCCGGUGACAAACCGGAGGAAGGCGGGGAUGACGUCAAAUCAUCAUGCCCCUUAUGACCUGGGCUACACACGUACUACAAUGGCCGGUACAACGGGAAGCGAAGGAGCGAUCUGGAGCCAAUCCUAUAAAAGCCGGUCUCAGUUCGGAUUGCAGGCUGCAACUCGCCUGCAUGAAGUCGGAAUUGCUAGUAAUCGCGGACCAGCAUGCCGCGGUGAAUACGUUCCCGGGUCUUGUACACACGC